ACUGUCCCACAUUAAGACUGAGUGAUUUAUUUUUAACAUGUUUAUUUGUGUCAGUUUCAGUGUUUUGUAGAGUGGUGGUCUCCAGUACUUUUGGUUAAGUGAUCAGUCAGCCACAAAUACCUGCUAUAAUAUUUCAAUUAUUUCAUUCUAUUGUACAUUUUAGAACACAACUGACAUGCGAGUAGCUUACGUGUGCUAUUUUUUUUUCUCACAAUUUACCCACAAUUCUUACUUAUUUCAGAUAUGUUAAUAACAUACAUUCCAUAACAGUUAACAACAGGUGCUCAAGACCAGUAAAGACCACACUGUGCUAAAAAAUUAAAGAUUUUAUUUUUAAAAUUAAGUGAAGUCUUAACUUUCCAGCACAGAAGUCUAAUUUCUAUAAUUUAAUCUUGUGACACACCAACGACAUCAUGCCAUAAGUACAAUGGCUUUCUGGGAGGGAUGUCCAUGCAGCUGGUCACACUUAUUAUCACUUCAGAAAUAUGGUGGAAAAAAAAAGUUCUAUCACCAAAUUGGAACGGAUAACAGUUUGAAGACCCCAUUACCUGCUGACUGGUCUAAACAAUCCAUUAUCUUAUACUUCAAACCUCCUAGUUUCUUUUCUGCUAGUAAAGACUGGACUUAUACUGACUUCAUGAAACAAGUUUUCCCUUCAUAAUUAAACUACUCUUGUACUUUUUUACGCAUAGUUUAAGCAAAGCAAAAGUACAAGUACAAGGUUUCCUACAUGUAAAUGAAAUAUUUGUUAAUGAAACUAUGAAAUUCCUGGGCAACUUCAUUUUUAAAUCUAUGGUAUAGAUGCAAAUGCUUUGCCUCUUUUUGCUGGAAGAUGGAAGCUCUUCUCCUGAUAGCUAGUGUUUCCACCAACAACUAUUUGUCUGUGUUGCUUUUCUGACAUUUUGUAUGUCUUUCCUGUUUUUAUCUAGUAGUUGUUUCAUUCUUGCACUUUUUUCUCUCAUAAACAAAAGUCCUCCUCUAAUAGCAGAGAAGUUCACAUGCAGAAGUUUUAUUCUGAUUUCAUUUAGGUGUAGUUUCAUUCUUGCACACUUUUACCUCAUAAAUUAAGUUCUUCAGUAAUGCUAAAGAAAUGUCCCAACCUUAUGUUGUUUUUCUUGCAUAAUGCUAGGCACAAAGGUGAUAAAAUAUGUUGCAUAACAUUACAUUCGUUUUCAGUGAUGAACGUGUGUGAAACAAAAUCUCCACAAUCUGAACACAAACUCUCUCAAGCAUACAUGGGAAUUACUUUACAUGUAGUUUCACCACACAUUAGCAGAAAAACUUACAUCAGAAUUAUCAAGUUUGCAUACAAAAAUGAUUGAUACAAUCAAAGUAGUCAUUCUGUCAAUACUGUGCUUAUUGUUGGAAAUGCCAUGUAAGCUGUUCUCAAGUGGCAAUUUUGUGUGCGAGUGUGGGUGUGCGCGUGUGCACGAGGGAGUGGGAGAGGUGGGAGUGGGAGAGGUGGGAGUGGGAGAGGUGGGAGUGGGAGGUGGCAGCACACCAGUACAGAACAAAGAAGAGAAUCCUGUCACAGUUACGGACAGACACAGAAAUUUUAGUCAAGUUUUCUAUUAUUUUCAUAUGCAGUAUUCUGCAUUUCAAUCAAUGUAUACCAAGAAUAAAUAUAACCAAUCUGUGUAGUUUACGGGGUUGGUUCUUUUGAAAUUAUAGAAAAUUCAAAUGGCAAAAAUUUCUUGGCAAAAAAUAACUAAUUGUUUCAUAAAUAACAUUACAUAAAAAAGUGGUGGAGCAGAUAUACAUGAUUUUAUAGCUAAGUAUAAUUUUAUGUACUUAUGAAAGUUAGCCCAAACAAAAAAAUUAUUGGGCAACAGAGUGUUCCCAGCUUAAAUAUGUACAGUAUUGACAUUUGGCCUCAUAACAAGUAUUCGUGAUACUUUCCUUUCAGCCACUUAAAA